rnacentral:rRNA from 1 species
CCCUUAGAUGUUCUGGGCCGCACACGCGCUACACUGAAGGAGGCAGCGUGUACUCCUGGAUCGAAAGAUUUGGGUAACCCGCGAAUCUCCUUCGUGCUAGGGAUUGAGGUUUGCAAUUAUCCUUCAUGAACGAGGAAUUCCCAGUAAGUGCAAGUCAUAAGCUUGCGCUGACUACGUUCCUGCCCUUUGUACACACCGCCCGUCGCUACUACCGAUUGAAUGAUUUAGUGAGGACUUCGGACUGGGACCGAUGCGGCUUUCGGGCUGCGUCGGUAUUCUGGAAAGAUGUCCAAACUGUAUCAUUUAGAGGAAGUAAAAGUCGUAACA